GAUGAACGCUAGCGAUAGGCUUAACACAUGCAAGUCGAGGGGCAGCGAGGGUAGCAAUACCUGUCGGCGACCGGCGCACGGGUGAGUAACGCGUAUGUAACCUGCCCGCAACAGGGGGAUAACCCGGCGAAAGUCGGACUAAUACCGCAUAAAACAGGGGUCCCGCAUGGGAAUAUUUGUUAAAGAUUUAUCGGUUGCGGAUGGGCAUGCGUACCAUUAGGUAGUUGGUGAGGUAACGGCUCACCAAGCCUUCGAUGGUUAGGGGUUCUGAGAGGAAGGUCCCCCACACUGGUACUGAGACACGGACCAGACUCAUACGGGAGGCAGCAGUGAGGAAUAUUGGUCAAUGGGCGAGAGCCUGAACCAGCCAAGUCGUGUGAAGGAUGACUGCCCUAUGGGUUGUAAACUUCUUUUACAAGGGAAUAAAAUGAGAUACGUGUAUUUUAUUGCAUGUACCUUGGGAAUAAGCAUCGGCUAACUCCGUG
rnacentral:rRNA from 1 species